UUCUCCUCUUCUUUCUCCUUCAUCUCGCAGCCGCCUCCCUCUUCUCCCUCCUUCGUCUCUCUUUCAUCUUCAUCUUUCUCCUCACGUUCUCCCCACACCUGCUCCACUUACCCCUGUCCCCCACGCUUCUAUCGCCUUUGUUCCCCACGCCGCUCCUCUCUCAUACGCUCCUCUCUCUCCUCACUCUAUAAAGGUACAAGAAUUAUUCAGUUGAAGGGAGGCUUUUGAGAUUUUGGGAUUAUUCAGUAUUUUGGAAGGACACAACUAUCUUCCACGCUCGAUUUUUCCUUUUCCGGUGAACUUUAGCCGCGACCAAUAAUUACUCUAUUUUCAUUUUUGUUUUUGAAACUUUAGUUACUUUAAUCGGGUUCAGUUUCGUUCGAGUUCAAGCAUAAAUCCGAGACCUCGACGCCCCGUUCACUGCAUCCGAGAAGGACAUCUCGCAUACGAGUCCAAGCGACUCGUCACCUCCUUCCGCACUUGGCGUUGGGCUAAAAGCCCAACACAACUUCUCUGGAAUCAGUCCCAUACAGUAGCAAAUAAUUUGCAGUAAUAUAUAAAGAAAUCUGCUGGGUCGAAGCCCAACAGUCAGCAGAUCGCCGCAGUCCAAGAAAGUGGGCUGAGCCCAGUUAUAUUAUAUCUACUCCUCCAUUUUUAUUUUUUGUGUGCAUUUAAUGUGUAUUGUAUUGGCUAACAUUUUUUUGUUUGUUAAUUUAGGUAUACCUUAGUGACAUUAAGGGGUUUAGUUUAGUAAUGGGUAGUUGACUCCACAAAUUACAUUCACUUCUAUUUAUGUUAUAAACUAUUUAUGGUAUUUAUAGCAUUUAUUCGAGUAA